GACGAACGCUGGCGGCGUGCUUAACACAUGCAAGUCGAACGGAAAGGCCCUGCUUUUGUGGGGUGCUCGAGUGGCGAACGGGUGAGUAACACGUGAGUAACCUGCCCUUGACUUUGGGAUAACUUCAGGAAACUGGGGCUAAUACCGGAUAGGAGCUCCUGCUGCAUGGUGGGGGUUGGAAAGUUUCGGCGGUUGGGGAUGGACUCGCGGCUUAUCAGCUUGUUGGUGGGGUAGUGGCUUACCAAGGCUUUGACGGGUAGCCGGCCUGAGAGGGUGACCGGCCAAAAUGGGAAUGAGAUAAGGGCCAGAAUUCUAAGGGAGGGAGGAGGGGGGAAUAUUGCACAAUGGGCGGAAGCCUGAUGCAGCAACGCCGCGUGCGGGAUGACGGCCUUCGGGUUGUAAACCGCUUUCGCCUGUGACGAAGCGUGAGUGACGGUAAUGGGUAAAGAAGCACCGGCUAACUACGUG
rnacentral:rRNA from 1 species